CAAGGGUGGCUCAGUUUGGUGAAAAACCAAAGUUCGCUAUAAAACAGCUUGUUAAAAUAUCACUGCACCAUUCUGAUUUGAAUAAUUUUACAAAUAACAAAUCAACUUCAUGAUGUUCGUUCGGAGCAUUAUUUUCCUUUUCGCAGUUGGCCUGGUAGUGGAAUCUAAAAGAAGUUGCUACUGGGGCGCUGACUAUCCGUGUAAUACUGUAUCCGGAUGUUCGUGGGGCUGCUAUCAUGGUCAAUGCUGGAGCUCGUGUAACGGAAUCGCUAUAAACUUCACCACGGAUACUUGCUCGUGGAGUGCGGAAUGGUGUUACUUGACGGGACACCGCGGUCUUAAGGAGAGUUGCUCAAAGGACUCAGAUUGUCACAAAGUCAGGAAUAACAACUGUGCAAUAGGUAGUCUGUGCACGAUCUAAAAUCAUAUUGUGUAGUGGUUUUAGACCUGGAUUUGGACCCCUUGUGAAUAUGCGAUAGAAUUAUAAUAUUAA